GAUUGGUUGUGAGGAAAAGCUGACGACUGCAGCAUGGAGUGCGUUAUUACCUUGUGAUUCGUUGACCCUCCUCUCUGCAUCCCUAACUCAUGAAAGCUGAUUCAGCUUUCAGCAACAGCAGUAGAGUCAGCUCUGCUGUGAGAGAAUCUACAAACUGGAGCAUUUCCAUAUUCAAAGAAUGUCCAGGACUCACUUUCUUCUCACAUGAAGUACACAACCAACAGCAAUGACACUAUGAGAGCCCAAUGAAUUUCUUUUCAGCAGCUUCCUUGAUUUUUCUUCCAGUGGAUGUAUUAGGGUAUUGAUUGUGUUGGAAGCUAACUCAGUCCAGCGUUCUUAUAUGGUGGUUGUAUCUAAUAUGAACCCACCAUUCAAGAGUGAUGUAAAGUACGUUUCUGCUGCAGGACAAGUAUAUUCUCCUAAUGGUGCUGCUAGCAACAAUGGUGCAAAUAUUAUUCAACUACAUGACACACCUGUUGUAGCUGGACCUUCAUUUUUUCCUGAACACACCGCCAUACCUGGAGUACUGUCUACAGUUCAGAGAGCAUACGAGGUGAGCGAGACCCAGCAGCUGGAAGGAGUGCAGAAAAAACUUACCAAAUGUGGUGUGGAUGAAGGUGAAAAAAUAUGACCUCAGACUAAAACAGGUAGAACUCUACUCACUGCAAAACAGAUGAGAAAGCAUCGACAUGGUUUGAGUUGACAAGAAUGACAGAGGGGUGGGAGGGACUACAGACCAUGGAUUGCAUUGAUUAAAUCCUUUCUGGUCUCCAAAAAUACAUCUUCAUGAAGAGAGCAGUGGACCCAUGGAAUGAGCUACAGAAAUGGAUGGUGGAAAGAAACCCUACAGAGUUAUUUAAGAAGACAUAAGAUAAGUGAAAUGAAGGUGAGGAGGAAAUAGGGAUGGAGAAAAGGGAAGAUUGUUAAAGGCACUUAAAAGGCAGACUGCACAGAAUCACUGCCUCCUGACAUCAGGGAACUAUAACAACGUUUUCUUACACUUACAUUUCAAAUAGCAUUGGCUUACCAGAUUUUACAUCUCCUGCUUUAAAAAAAAAGCAAAUAAUUUGUUCAAGCUCAUUAAAAAGUAAUUAACAAUGA